AUUGAACGCUGGCGGCAGGCUUAACACAUGCAAGUCGAGCGAGCGGCGGACGGGUGAAUAAUGUCGGGGAAACUGCCUGAUGGAGGGGGAUAAAUACUGGAAACGGUAGCUCAUACCGCAUACCAUCAGAUGUGCCCAGAUGGGAUGAGCUAGUAGGUGGGGUAAUGGAUCACCUAGGCGACUAUCCCUAUCUGGUCUGAGAGGAUGAGCAGCAACACUGGAACUGAGACACGGGCCAGACGCCUACGGGAGGCAGCAGUGGGGAAUGUUGAAAAAUGGGCGCAAGCCUGAGGCAGCAAUGCCUCGUGUGUGAAGAAGGCCUUCGGGUUGUAAAGCACUUUCAUCGAGGAGGCGUUACUCGCAGAAGAAGCCACGGCUAACUCCGUGCCAGCAGCCGCGGUAAUUC
rnacentral:rRNA from 1 species